CACCAUUCAGCUGUUAGCUGAACCAGGAGGACCCGCAAGGUCACCGCAACAGCCUGGAGGAACGCGUGCAAAAGCAUCACCUCUUAGAAAUAAUCCCUAGCAGCCCAUCGACAGUUUAUAUUAUAUCUACACCCGAGGUGCUGACAGGAUUGGUUCACCUUUACAGUGGUUCCUGUAGCCUUUGGCCGUUAGCUCAACUGUGUUCUUUUCCUGGCAUGGCUCCGGUGAGGCGUUUAUCCAAACCAGCUUAUCGCCUUCACUCUUCACAAGACCUUCUGGGGCUUCAGCCGGUGACCUUCAGACUAACAUACUAACCACUUUGCCCACGACUGCACCGAGUACUGUAACCAAAAGCUUCUGCCAGAGCCCGCUGUUCGCUGGCACGUCCCUGCCAUUCAGACUGGGGGGUUAUAAUCCAGUUGUCAACACUCACUCAUAGCCCAGGACGGCAGAAUGGAUUUCCCAGAGUUUCCGCAGUCUCUACACAGCACAUUCAGCGACUGAAGCCAAAGCUGAGGGCCUGCAUUCACCAGCACGCCGUCGGCAUCAGCAGCCACUCGGACGAUUGUUCCGGCAUGUUGACGACGGUUGGCUGUUUCUGCCGUGGCUCGCGGCGGCCGUGUGCUUAUCCGGCAAAAUGCACAGAUGGAAGAAACUGAGCCCACCCCUUCCCUUCUGCUGUCCUGUCUGUUUCCACAUUUCAUCCUUGAACAACACUAAACAAGGGGCUCCGAUAAAGGCGGAGAGCACAACAUGAGCGCAUGAGCCAAGACCCCCCCCGAUGGGACCUCAGAGGGGUGGUGCUUGCCGGACACGGAGGAGCUGGAGGUGGGAGAGCCUCUGGGAACAGUGCGGCGACGAAGGGGUCUUGCUCUGAAGAUCUGUGUGUGUCUGUGUGUGUGUGUGGGCGUGCAUGUCCGCAUGCGUGCCCUCCAUUCCCAGGCAGGGGAAGGAUUCUUGUCAUCCCUCGCAUACUUCCCCCGCGCAGGGCUCCGCCCUCCCCCUAACCCUGCGCGGGCCGAUGCAAGGCCAGCCCCGGUGUGCCACGGUAUCAGCGGUUCCCAAGAACUGCCCGGCCUGGGAAAAGCUUGAUGGAGCAGUUCCAAGAUCAGCAUUACAUGCAUUAUUGUUCUUACCCUCUGCGAGUCGCCGGCACACAAUGAAAACAGCAGCGGCUGCCACAGUCUCAGGCCCUCCUCCCUGCACAGGGCACUCUCCCGUCAGGCUCUCUCUCAAGCCACUGUUUUUUGUUCAUUUCAAAAAAGCAUUAAGUUAACUGCUUCAUGGCUUUGAAGGCCUGCUUCCCUGUGCAUGGCACAAAAAAACAGCACUGGUUACGGGGUGGUUGUCGGUUCAAGUUACCAGGUGGUUGUUGGCUCAGAUCCCGAUUUGAAAACGAACCUCACCGUCUUCAUUAAAGCAAGACAGUAAAUGUGAUCAGUUAAGCAUGACUUUGGAAGCACUUCUGGAAAAGUGUUGCAUGGGAAAUGAUUGUUCUUAUUAAUAUGGAGAUUAGGAUGCUCUGUUCUUGAAUGCCAGCUAACUCCAUCUAACCUCCAGUUCACUUCAAGCCAGCGGCAGUAAGCGAAGUGAUCCGUACUCAGUAAGAGAACCGCUGUGUCGGGCGCCGUGGACAAAUAAACGAAACGGGGUCUGGCGAAUUAACGAUUUCCGUCUUCCGCCUGCGAAGCUGGAACCAUCUUCGCUGUGCAAGGCGAGCUGAAACAACAACCCAGCACUGCACAAACAGGCCGGACUCCUUCUCAUUGUUGUGCGACUUGUCGCGGAAUAACAGGCCGCUGUUUGUGUUCCCUGGAGUAGGAAGGAGCCGUGGCAACGACAAUGAGCCCCGCCGGCGGGCUACGCGCCCCCCCACUCCCUGCUACAUUAUAGCCGCUUUAUUGCUGUUUAAGGUCACCCAGAGACAAGCAACUGCAUCCUAUAUCAGGAAGCAGAGCGCCUCUCAGGGGUGAAAUACUCGCCCCUGACAAGGGGCUGCGGCCGUGAGUCGGACAUCCUGGGCAGUAAGUGCAUGUCAGGCAGGCUCCAGGCUUUCGGUCCAGCAACGCUGGAGAGAAUGACCCAGAAUAAUGGCCCCCUUCCUGCCAUUCUCAGCACCGGGCAGUAUUUCUAUCAGGGCUUCUGAAAGCCACCCCCCCACCCCCCGUGGGGCCAGCGACGCCAUUCUGGGCCAAUGAAUGGACCUAAAAGGCCAGGCUCAGACCCACGGAAGCUUCACCGGCUCCGUGUCUACAGGUGGCCUGGAGUCAGUCCCGGAAAAGAGAGACAGGUCUAUUCCCAGUUUCUCGCAGGGCAAUCUCUGGCUUGCUGAUGGCUUUCUUAAAGGCAUGAACGUCUGAACAGAAGCAUGAGGACCUCAUCGUUGCGAAGGUACCUUCUGCUCUACUGUUUCCUGACCAGUGACACAGAAAUCCUCCGAUCUGAAAAAUCGUAUUCUGGUAAAACAAAACAGCGACUGAAUCAAGAAUUAUGUGAAACAUUCUCAGAGAUCCGCAACAGGAAAUGACAUCAAUGUCCUCGCAAGGAACUAAAUUAUUGUGAAGCUUUUCAGCUAUUGUGAGUCUAGUUCCUCAACCAUUGCACCACCUGGUGGUCAUGUAAAAUGGUUAUAAGAAUCCAGCUCAAUAGAGAGGAAUAUAACUUGAGUAACAUACCACAGGUGUGUGUAUACGGUGGCUUCCUGUUGAACCUCAUGAACGCACUCUCUCCUGUCUGGAGACACCAGGCUGUGUGACCUGUUCAAACAAUCAGCGGCAGGGGGGGAGGAAAUAAUCAGAGGCACCAAACAUGACCUGUGACACCACGACCCCCGUCUGCGGUUCACAGAGUGCUGUAGAUGCAGGGUGUGGCACAGAGGGCCAAACGUAGAAGCUGUUUUUAAUGAGGCCUGCAGGAUGUGUCAAUUUGGACCGUGAUGCACGCUGAGCACGACUAGCAAGAAGUGUUGUAGUGAGAGACCAGUUUGCUGCCAGAGGUUAUACAGCAGUAUGAUACAGGAUGCCGGGGUCCUACACACAAAUGGGGUGGGGCAUAGGGGGGGCGGUUCAACACCUAGGGGUCAGGGUGCGACGAGAGGGACGCUUAAAAGAGGGUGUGUCGUUCACAGUGUCAGCACCCUGUGAAGAAACAAGGACCUUUCUCAAGGGCCCGGCAGAGAUUAACCCUUUAGAAAAUCGACUGCAGUCCCUGGCAAGGAACCUGCCCGCCACAGGAAGCAAACUCUUCAGACUGCCGGCAGCCAGCCCUCGUGGCACCAGCCAGCGCCUGAGAUCCUCUCCUCGGCCCACAAGGGCGAGACCAGGGGCCACGUGACCGCAAGGAGUCGCAAGGCUGCCGCGGAUCCAGGAAGGGCAUCCACUCCCGCCGUUAUCAGGGCAAGACCGACGGCCAGCCACAACACUGAUACCCAGAGUCGCGGCUACGGGGGAAACAAUGGUUGGCCAGAUGAAAGGACCUUGGAAGCAGGGUCAGCGAUGAUGUCAUGGAUGUGGAAUGGUGGGAUCUCUCCUCGGCUCUUCGCUGCCCUCCCGGCUGUUGCGUGCGUUUCCACGCCGAAGAGAUGUCCUGCUGCCAGGCCUGGCCCCCAUCCUCAGGCCUGGCCCCCGUCCUCAGGCCUGGCCCCCGUCCUCAUGCCUGGCCCCCAUCCUCAUGCCUGGCCCCCGUCCUCAGGCCUGGCCCCCAUCCUCAGGCCUGGCCCCCGUCCUCAGGCCUGGCCCCCAUCCUCAGGCCUGGCCCCCAUCCUCAGGCCUGGCCCCCUCCUCAGGCCUGGCCUCCUCCUCAGG